rnacentral:rRNA from 1 species
UACGGGGGGGAGCAAGCGUUGUUCGGAUUUACUGGGCGUAAAGGGCGGGUAGGCGGCCACCGCAAGUCAGUUGUGAAAUCUCUGGGCUUAACCCAGAAAGGUCAACUGAUACUGCGGGGCUAGAGUGCAGAAGGGGCAACUGGAAUUCUCGGUGUAGCGGUGAAAUGCGUAGAUAUCGAGAGGAACACCGGUGGCGAAGGCGGG